AUUGAACGCUGGCGGCAGGCCUAACACAUGCAAGUCGAACGAGCGGCGGACGGGUGAGUAAUGUCUGGGAAACUGCCUGAUGGAGGGGGAUAACUACUGGAAACGGUAGCUAAUACCGCAUACCAUCGGAUGUGCCCAGAUGGGAUUAGCUAGUAGGUGGGGUAAAGGCUAACCUAGGCGACGAUCCCUAGCUGGUCUGCGAGGAUGAUCAGCCACACUGGGACUGAGACACGGUCCAGACUCCUACGGGAGGCAGCAGUGGGGAAUAUGGCACAAUGGGCGCAAGCCUGAUGCAGCCAUGCCGCGUGUAUGAAGAAGGCCUUCGGGUUGUAAAGUACUUUCAGCGGGGAGGCGUUACCCGCAGAAGAAGCACCGGCUAACUCCGUGCCAGCAGCCGCGGUAAUUC
rnacentral:rRNA from 1 species